rnacentral:rRNA from 1 species
UGGGGAAUAUUGGACAAUGGGCGAAAGCCUGAUCCAGCCAUGCCGCGUGAGUGACGAAGGCCUUAGGGUUGUAAAGCUCUUUCGGCGGGGAAGAUAAUGACGGUACCCGCAGAAGAAGCCCCGGCUAACUCUGUGCCAGCAGCCGCGGUAAUACAGAGGGGGCAAGCGUUGUUCGGAAUCACUGGGCGUAAAGCGCACGUAGGUGGAUAGUUAAGUUCGGGGUGAAAUCCCAGGGCUCAACCCUGGAACUGCCUCGGAUACUGGCUAUCUCGAGUCCGGAAGAGGUGAGUGGAAUUCCUAGUGUAGAGGUGAAAUUCGUAGAUAUUAGGAAGAACACCGGUGGCGAAGGCGGCUCACUGGUCCGGUACUGACACUGAGGUGCGAAAGCGUGGGGAGCAAACAGGAUUAGAUACCCCCGUAGUCCCUGAGCGGGCUGGCAAGGCGCAU